UACAGAGGUGGCAAGCGUUGUUCGGAAUUACUGGGCGUAAAGGGCGCGUAGGCGGUUCGUUAAGUCCUGUGUGAAAUCCCCCGGCUCAACUGGGGAACUGCACAGGAAACUAGCGGGCUUGAGUUCGGGAGAGGGAAGCGGAAUUCCGGGUGUAGCGGUGAAAUGCGUAGAUAUCCGGAGGAACACCGGUGGCGAAGGCGGCUUCCUGGACCGACACUGACGCUGAGGCGCGAAAGCUAGGGGAGCAAACGGGA
rnacentral:rRNA from 1 species